AGGUUGGUUUCUUUUUUACCUCAACAGGAUUGCGGGUGACUCGUUUAGAAAGGAAGCCAAAUGAUACUGACAAGUUGCUUGCCAAUUUGACAGAUUUUUGACAAAUUGACAAGGGCUGCAGUAGUUUCUUUCCUGAUAUGCCGAACAAGCUAAAAGUUACAACAGUAUUUUCGAAACAUCCGGAUGUUUCGCAAAAUAUUUCAAAAUCGUCUUCUGCUGACUGAGGCGAGCUUAUUUUUCUUUCAAGUUGGUUGUUCUGUCAACAGGAUUGCGGGUUAAUCGUUUAGAAAGGAAGCCAAAUGAUACCGACAAGUUGCUUGCCAAUUUGACGGAUUUUUACAAAUUAACAUACGGAUGACAAAUUGACAAAAGGGAUAAGAAGGCUGCCGUAGUUCCUUUCCUGAUAUGCCGAACAAGCUAAUGGUUACA